rnacentral:rRNA from 1 species
GCAAACCCGGGGAACUGAAACAUCUAAGUACCCGGAGGAAAGGAAAUCAAUUGAUACUCCCCUAGUAGCGGCGAGCGAACGGGGAUCAGCCGAGCCUUGAGAGUGACUAGAAUGUGCUGGGAAGCACAGCCAUAGCGGGUGAUAGCCCCGUAUAGGAAGCUCAAUGGGACGUAUUAAGUAGGGCGGAACACGUGAAAUUCUGUCUGAAGAUCGGAGGACCACCUUCGAAGGCUAAGUACUCCUUGCUGACCGAUAGUGAACCAGUACCGUGAGGGAAAGGUGAAAAGCACCCCGACGAGGGGAGUGAAACAGUACCUGAAACCGAACGCCUACAAUCAGUCGGAGCUGCGGCCUUGUGCCGUUGUGACGGCGUACCUUUUGUAUAAUGGGUCAUCGACUUGGUCUAUCCAGCAAGCUUAAGCCGUUAGGUGUAGGCGCAGCGAAAGCGAGUCUUAAUAGGGCGUCGAGUUGGAUGGAUCAGACCCGAAACCGAGUGAUCUAGGCAUGACCAGGAUGAAGGUACGGUAACACGUACUGGAGGUCCGAACCCACACCUGUUGAAAAAGGUCGGGAUGAGUUGUGCCUAGGGGUGAAAGGCCAAUCAAACUCGGAGAUAGCUGGUUCUCUGCGAAAUCUAUUUAGGUAGAGCGUCGCGAUUUAUACCCUCGGGGGUAGAGCACUGGAUGGGCUAGGGGGACUCACCGUCUUACCAAACCUAACCAAACUCCGAAUACCGAGGAGU